rnacentral:misc_RNA from 1 species
UUAAGUUCAGCGGGUAUUCCUACCUGAUCUGAGGUCAACCUUAGAAAGUUGGGGGUUUUACGGCGGACCACACCGCUCUCCGCCCGCGAGUGUUUAACUACUACGCAGAGGAGGCUACGGCGCGGUCGCCACUCCAUUUAGGGGGCGGCCGCCCGAAACCGGGAGGCCGAUCCCCAACACCGCCCCCGACAGAAGCCGGG